rnacentral:rRNA from 1 species
AAUGAACGCUGGCGGCAUGCCUAACACAUGCAAGUCGAACGAUGCCUUCGGGCAUAGUGGCGCACGGGUGCGUAACGCGUGGGAAUCUGCCUUUCGGUUCGGAAUAACUCAGGGAAACUUGAGCUAAUACCGGAUAACGUCGCAAGACCAAAGAUUUAUCACCGAAAGAUGAGCCCGCGUAGGAUUAGCUAGUUGGUGAGGUAAAGGCUCACCAAGGCGACGAUCCUUAGCUGGUCUGAGAGGAUGAUCAGCCACACUGGGACUGAGACACGGCCCAGACUCCUACGGGAGGCAGCAGUGGGGAAUAUUGGACAAUGGGCGAAAGCCUGAUCCAGCAAUGCCGCGUGAGUGAUGAAGGCCUUAGGGUUGUAAAGCUCCUUUACCCGGGAAGAUAAUGACGGUACCGGGAGAAUAAGCCCCGGCUAACUCCGUG